rnacentral:rRNA from 1 species
UCGAGAAUAUUCGACAAUGGGCGAAAGCCUGAUCGAGCGACGCCGCGUGCAGGAUGAAGGCCCUCGGGUUGUAAACUGCGGUAGUAGGGGAGGAACGCAAGUGACUGUACCCUACGGAAAGUGGUUGGUAACUACGUGCCAGCACCAGCGGUAAUACGUAGACCACAAGCGUUAUCCGGAUUUAUUGGGCGUAAAGAGCAUGUAGGAGGUCCGGUGCGUCUCUGGUUAAAGCCCACCGCCUAACGGUGGAAGUGCCAGAGAUACGAUCGGACUGGAGGAUGUGAGAGGUGCAUGGAACUCACGGUGUAGGGGUGAAAUCCGUUGAUAUCGUGGGGAACACCAAAGGCGAAGGCAGUGCACUGGUACAUUCCUGACUCUGAGAUGCGAAAGCGUGGGGAGCAAACAGGAUUAGAUACCCCAGUAGUCCCUGAGCGGGCUGGCAAGGCGCAU